GAUGAACGCUGGCGGCGUGCCUAAUACAUGCAAGUCGAGCGAACAGACGAGGAGCUUGCUUCUCUGACGUUAGCGGCGGACGGGUGAGUAACACGUGGAUAACCUACCUAUAAGACUGGGAUAACUUCGGGAAACCGGAGCUAAUACCGGAUAAUAUAUUGAACCGCAUGGUUCAAUAGUGAAAGACGGUUUUGCUGUCACUUAUAGAUGGAUCCGCGCCGCAUUAGCUAGUUGGUAAGGUAACGGCUUACCAAGGCAACGAUGCGUAGCCGACCUGAGAGGGUGAUCGGCCACACUGGAGCUGAGACGCGGUCCAGACUCCUACGGGAGGCAGCAGUAGGGAAUCUUCCGCAAUGGGCGAAAGCCUGACGGAGCAACGCCACGUGAGUGAUGAAGGUCUUCGGAUCGUAAAACUCUGUUAUGAGGGAAAAACAAAUGUGUAAGUAACUAUGCACGUCUUGACGGUACCUAAUCAGAAAGCCACGGCUAACUACGUG
rnacentral:rRNA from 1 species